GCUCGCGCUGUUUCGCACGCAACUGUCAAGUUCUUCUCCGGCCAGGGCCGUCCGCCAUGGCUGCCAACCGUGAGCUCCGCCUCUACCUCCUUCAUGUUGCUGCGAGCCCUCCUCUUGACACGAUCCGACCAGUAGCAUACUGAUCUGGCGUUGAGAGAUGUUUCACUUAGCCCAUGAGAUCUUCCUAAUCGUCAAUAGCAGAUCCACACACGGGCCUCGGCCCAGUUCUUCCCGAUGAAGCCCGCUGCUCUGCGCGUCCAGCAGCCAGGUUCUCUCCGAUGCAGCAGCAGGCCAGGUCCGGCCCAGUUCCCUGUGCGGAGCCUUUCUUUUAUAUGUUUUGCAUGUAAUGGUUAAAUCCAUAUCUUUU